UUUUUGAAAUUAAAUAGAAAAAUAAAAUCCGUUAUCUUAAAAAGAAAAUAUAUUUUGAAAUUAAAUAGAUAAUAUCUAAAAAAGAUAUUUUAAAAUAAAUGGGAAAAUAUCUUUUAUAAGAUUUUCACACUCGUAAUCUGUUAUAGAAAACUUACUUUUGAAAUUAAAUAGAAAAAUUUAUAUUUUAGGAUUUUCACAUCAAUAAUCUGUUAUAGAUAACUUACGUAUUCAUUGCUGUUCUAUUUCUAUUUUUAUUCUUAUAUUUAAAAUUUUUCGUACGGAAAGAGAAAAAUGGGCGCUAAUUUUUCCGCCGAAAAAUGGGUCUGUCGACAGACCCAAAUUUGAAUAUACGUGCUUUUAUAUAUAGUAUAGAUAUAUAUAUAUAUUCUUUAGAUAUUACAAAGCAUGUUUAUUUUUUAAUUUGAAGAUAUUUGUGUUGAAUAUAAAAAUAAAAAAAAGCGUUAAAAUGAUUGUUUCAUAUAUUUUUUGCUCGAAUUCUGAAAUUGCAUUGACUUUUCGAUUAAUUAAAUU
rnacentral:lncRNA from 1 species